GGUCUUGGACGUUUCCGGAGGCUUUUGGAAACCAGAAUUUAGGAAACUGCACCACAUAUCGAGUCCCCUAUUCCUGUCAGCGUGCUCUCCUGAGGGCCCGCUGCCAGUCCCCACCCUGUGAUGCAUGUCCAUAUGCCGGGUGUAUUAGCCGGGAGAAGCUGUGGAGAAUCACACCAACAGGGACGGCCAUCUGUCCUCUUACAGAUAUAGCAUGGACUCUGCGAGCGCAUGAAGACAGGAUCUUAAAACAUUUGGUCCAUUAUAUCACAGCGCUGAUGAUGAAUGGCUUUUGCACAGGGCUCGUCCUGUACGCAGAACUAAUUAUAUAGCUUUUCAGCGUGGGGGGUAGGACAAUGCAGCAGCAUUCAGAUUAGCAGGAACUGAUAGACUGAGUCCUAUAAUAGGCCUGUAUUCAGAGGGGAGGAGGGAUUCACACCCUUUACUACUGAAAUGACUAAUACUGCACUUUAAAGGAAAUACAAACAAAAAAGCUUAAAAACUAAGAAUGAUUAAAAUUAUUAUAAAAUGAUGUAAAUUAAAGAGGUGUCAAUACAAUUCACUCAAAAAUCAAAGCUCCUGUGAGGAACUUUUUGGCUUAUUUCACAGAUUUAUUUUAUCCCCUAGGCAGAGAAAUAUAAAAUUAACUCGAUGACAAUUUUGCAGCAUGGCAACAGCGGAGGAGGGUCCCAGACUGCUUGGAUGAAAUUGAACGUUUAGGUUUAAAUGCAUUAAGUCAGCUUUUCUCUGUAAUUCUGUUGUAAAUUUGAACUUCAUUUUUUGCAUUUUAUCUAGUAUCAGCUCCAUUAAAUAAAGAAAAAGUCACUAAAACAUCCAAACUUUGCUGAUUGGAUUAAAUCUACAUGACAAAUCAACUCAAAACUGACCAGGUAAGGUUGUUUUUUUGUAUUUAAUUCUAGUUGAAACUUAAAUUUACACUUCAGGUCAAAGUAUCACAGUCAGAAAUUAAAAAUAGAGGAAUUUUAAUGAUGCUUGUUGCCCUGUUAAGCAUUUUCACUCAUUGAUUCCUCAAUUGUUGGCCUCUCUGCACGAUCAGCCAUGACUCAAAUGUUAAAAAAAAACACCUUAAGAGUAAAAUACUGACCAAGAUUACUGCACAAAUAUUUUGUAACUCCACCCUAGAGAGAAGUCAGUGUUUUACUGGUGAGUUAAAUGCAUGCUGUUGUUUGCAGGUAGAGUGUAACACCAGAUCCAAGACUCUACCAGACAUCUCCAGGCUGCACCAGGUUAGUCACAAUAAGAAGAGCACUGGUGAUCCUAUCUGCAGCUGAUUGUCUCCAAGUACAUUUUCAAACCCUUUUCAUAGUUUUUAUUGAAGCUACAGCUGAUUUUAAACAAUCAUAAAGUCCCAUAUACAUUAUUAGAUUGGAUAAAAAGCAAAAAGUAACGUAAAUCAGAAUGGUAGGGGAGUCCUGGUCUCCUGACCGGUAUUUCACGGAUUGUUGAUUAGUGAGUUAUUUAAGCUCUGCUGCCAAAGGUGCGUAUUUCCCUCUGGGUCUGAUUUCACUCACCUCUUUACUUCCCUACAACCUCUCUGAUUGGCUGUUUUAUGACGUAACUGUGCUGUCAGUGUAGCUGUUAACACCUGAUUUGAUUUUAUAUUUGCUAAAAACUUUCAAACAAGUCUGGUUUUGGAUUUCGAUCAUUCCCAAUAAUCUGUCUCAGUAUCGGCCCCAACAAACCAAUAUCAGUAAAUCCCGAUUAACAGGACUAAAGAGCUUCUAAGAGGUAGUGAAGAUGUAAACGACUUAUACUCUGAAUAUGAAAUUACUUAACACGCUUUAAAAGUUGUUUAGAGGGUCUUUAAGGGGAGGGGGUAAACGUGGUUUUAAAGGGUCUGUAUCUGAAUCCAGAUUCUUCUCACAGCUCCAGGAGGACAAACAGGAAGGGGAAUCAUUCUCGUCAGUGAGGAGAGACAAACAGGUCAAUAUGGCCUAUCAAUAAUGAAACAGAGCGGGGAUGCAUGUUGUUAUCCCUCAGAGGGAAGGGUGAUACAGGUGAUGCAGGCAGUUAUUUGGACUCUUAAAGUGGUAGAAGAGCCAAUUUACCACCUUAAAGACGUUUAAUGUUCUUGAAACGAAAAUUUCUACUCGCACUAGCAGACCAAGACGGUUUUACAUCUUUGUACCUCAGAAGACAGAGCCAAAUUUUCCUGAAGGUUAAAUUACAGUUUGAUCGCAGUAACGUGUAAUCAUGUUUGGCCUCUUCUUGUAAAGAGUUAAAACGAAAGGAACAGACCAGGAAGUAAAUAUCCCUUUAAUACCAGAUAUGAAGGAUAUUAAAAGACAGAAGCCACCCCAGCAAGAGCCGGUUCACCCCGGUGUCUUCUGGCAAGCGAUGCAGCAUCUGAUGCUGUAUCAACAAACUACAAGGUUCUUCCCCCAGGCUGUGAGACUUCUCCUCUCAUCCUCCACGCUUCACUAUAAAAAAAGAUAGUUUUUUUGCCGUAACAAAGAAGUACAACAGUUUGAAUUUCAUGUGCAACAUUUAUCGGUGACCAAGUCAGUCACAUUAGACUCAAAAUCUCCAACUAGCCAGCAAAGUUAAAAAAAUUCACGUGACCAGUUUUACUGAAAUCUGAGCAAAAAUCCUGGUUUUGUUUUCCGUCUGGUCUUCUAGUCCCUCGUUAAAGUUCAUGUAUGAAAUAAAACCUCAAUCCACCCCAAACCUGAAAGAACAUCUCCAAACUUUUGUAACAGGUCAGCAAAAAUGACCGUUUAAAGGUGGGGUAGGCGGGAUUUCGUUAAAGAAGCAUCUUUUUUUUUUGUGGUGUUUAUACAAAAAAUCUUCUAAUAUCAGUCAAUAGUUAUUAGUUAUUGAUGACAUUUGGUAAUAUAUCGAUAUCUCUGUGUUCUCUUAUGUCUGUGUCGUCAACAUUUGAACAUUUUUGAGCGGUCCGCUCUUUCUGACUGUAAACAAAGCCGUUCUCCACCUCCUCUAACCUGAUUGGUUGUGAGGCAGACGCUGCUCCCCCGUGUCGUUCAGGAGCCCAAACAAAGUUAGCGUGCUACAAUAUCGGACAGUAGAAACCAACCAGAAAGUUCGGAAAAUUGUCUGAAUCCUCCUUUGGCCACGACUGCCGACACAAGCAAGAAAACAAAGUAAAUACCGGAGACUCUGGAGGAAUAACGGGCGCUUAAAACGGAGGUAGACAGGACAAGAGCUAAAAAGCCGGGUCAACAUAAACCAUGGGGGACGCUUGGGGAUCUUGGUGACCCUGUAACCUUUCUGCUGGACAGGUAAACCGCUUCAACAAAGUAAGACAAGUGUCUGUAACAGAAGUGUUUCUUGUCAAACGGACCUGCUGUAGCGUGUUGUAGCGCCAUCGCUAAACUGUCCUCCCUCGGGUCCUGGACUAUGUCACUUUAUCCUCGUUGUAGAAGUCCUGCAAACAUUGUGUUUGCUGGUAGUCUGUUGGCAUCUACAGUAGCACCAAUGCUUUUGACUUUCACCUUGACUGGGCCCCAUUUGUAAUGAUCUGAAGUAUUUAUCUGCAUUAUAUCUGAAUUUAAUUGGAACAAUAUGAGCGAGCAGGAGCGUCUGUUUGUGGGCGGGGCUUGAGGGGAGGAGCUGAGGAGGAAACUGGUUGGGAGGGGUAGAGUUUACAUUCAUGAUUUCUCCUAAAAACUGGAACUUCAUCAGAUCCCCACUACCCCACCUUUAACGAUUUCCAACAGUUUCAUCAUCAGCCGUAAAUAAACAUUAAAACUAGGCGGCUGUAAUUUCCACUGCAUCAAAACAACCUUGACUCUGUAGUGGAAAUCCCUGCAUGGGUUCAAAGUCACUCCAAAAACCGCUGUCUUUAAAAUUACUAAAAGGAAAACCAGCGGAAAAAUAACACAAACGCAUUUAAAGCAUUCAAAGGAAACAGAAGCAAAGACGGAGGUGAGAAAUGAAGGUUUUCAGUACAUUACACAUAAAUGCGACUUCCUGGUGGGCAGGAAUAAAACCCUCGGCGUAUAAAAGGCAGUAUGUUCCAACACAGACUUUUAAGAUGAUUGCCUCAUUAGCAUUUACCGCCAACCCUCCCCCAACACAGAAUCAUCAUAAAAUAACCUCCCACACAGUGAAUUCAUACGCCACAAACACUCGCACACAACAGUUUAUUCCUGCGGUGUGUAAAAAUGCUAAUGUAAGUUUGGCGCUCUAUCUUUUUAAGAUAGAGAUGAACAGGUUUAGAUGUAGCGGUUGCAGUUAAGUCAUUAAUUUGCAUAAUAACAAUGCGAGCAGAAAAGCUUGUUGACCUGCUGUUAUGGUGGUCAGAAGUCUUUAAACAAACAAUUAGGCGAGUCUCCCAGCCCCGGCUUAAUCAUUACUAACAACUGAACACAGCUCAUGAGGUUCAGCGUCGUCCUAUAUGUGGCAUGAUAGCUGAGGUAUGGCACUGCAUCUACAAUCAGGUGUUAUGCUUGAAAUAAAUCCAUAUCUGUAACAAGCAGAGUGUGAAAAAUCAAUCAGGAUCAAUGUGACAGGGGACUCUGUAGGAAGUGUUGCUAUGGUGGAGAAUGCAGAGUGUGAAAAAAGAGAGAGAGCAGCAGUGAGGCCGCUUCUUCUCCUUCUCUGUAAACUGCAGAUUAAAGUGACCCCUGGCCCCCUGCCUCUGAUGUUUCCCUAAUUACCUUGUCUCGCCGUCCUGAUAAACGCCACUGAGACGGCUUUCUGCUCCGCUGUUUACAGCUUCAAACCUGACACCGUGAUGCUUGUUGCUGAACUUUCAGGGAGAGUAUUGCGCACAAUGCAGGUAGAUGUUGGCUGCGAUGCUUCUUGUUUUAUCAGUCUCAGCAUAAUGACGUCCCUCCCCACCCAAAAACCUCACCUCAGGGUCCCGGCUCAUAACAACCCAGCGCCAGCUGCUGAAAGAGGAAGAGAAACCUUUAAUUCAAGGAGAUGUUGCACUACUAUAAUAAAAAUCUACUCCAUUUAGCUGUGUGAGCUAACAGUGAGGCUCCUGUGACUGUUUUAUUAAUGUAAUAUAAGUUCAGCACCGGUACCCCAAGGCCAAACUCAAGUGGUGUAAAUUCACAGACUACAAAUGUGAAGAGUGUUCACCUCAUUACCUGAGACUGAUUUGGAUCGUAGACCCGGCGAUGAUAUAACAGGAAAUCUCAGUCUGUGUCCUGCUUUGACUUUUAUUGAGUCAUGGUCAACAAAGAAACUGUAUUUGAUCUGGAUUUAUAGCAUUAGAUCAGUACCGAUGACAAAAUCACCAAGCAGUCCCAGCACCAUACCCCAAAAAUGUAUUUUUCCUGAGCUCUGUUGUCUUAUUCAGUCCACUGCUGCCCUCAUAUUAGAAGAAUUACAGUACAGGAGUCCUCUUUGAUAAGAUAAUUGUAGUCAAAACUUGAGGAAACACCUUAAAAAGAAGAAAAUGCAAAAUAGUGAUCAGUGGGAAAACAAGAUGUAGUGUCAGGGGGACCUCUUUAGUGGAGAAAACGUGCUGCAGAGCUGAAUCGGGCACCUCUUUAACCAGUUGAGUGAAAUGCAGUGCCCCCUAGGGUUCCCCUCCAGUGAGGGAAACAAAUGCAGGGCCCAGAGGUUCCUGUAUAACAGAGAAAACGACACCCAGUGUCCUCAAAGGAGACAUUUCAAAUGCACUGAUUUACCGCAGUGGAGUAAACAUGAUUCAGUCACUCUGUUAGUGGUUAAGUGUGACUCAGAGGCCCCUUAGUUUAUCUCUUAGUCAAGAAACUAUAAUGCAGUAACCUUGUGGGAGCUUUUCCAGUGGUGAAAGUGCGAUUCAGAGAAGAAAAUAUGAUGUCCUUUGAUGACAUGGCGCCCUGAAGACACUCUUCAGUGGAGAAAACAGGAAGUGGUGUCUUACUGGGCCUUUUCAGGUGAGAAAAUGGUUCUCCAUGUCUUUAGUGUUAAUCAGGGAGCUUAGUGGAGAAAACUACCCUUUACCAACUACCCUCAAGACGACUUUUAGUGGAGAGAACAGGUUCAACCCCUUUUUGUGUGAGAAGAUUUCAUAUGACCCCCUAAUUCUGAUGCAUCUGGAAUGACUACGAGAUGGCCGUAUCCGCCGAUCGUAUCUGAUCAUAACCAUUCAAGUUAAUGUGUUGGCUUUUUUUACGUUUCGCUGCGCAUCGAUGGACUCCGCAGCUGAUCACAAGAGUUUUAUUUUUCUGGUUAUCGGAGCAUGCCGGAUAAAUUCAGCACAGAUUAACCCGUGCUGGAAAGGAAGUCGGGCACAGACACAAAAUAAAACAUCCAGCUUCCUUUCAAAAUAAAAUACUCAGUGUUUCAGACGGAUCGUAUUUCACACCAUGCAAACAGGCGGAGACGAACAAGUGAAAGGUUUUUAGACGUCAUUUCACCCCGAUGACACCAUGGAUGAGAAGUUCUUCCUAGAGCUGCGUCACCCCGCUGUAGUCCGUAACGUACUGGCCCGAGGUCUCUCUACAAACAAGCGUCUGCUGGAAGAGAGUAGGUGAGUUGUGUUUAGUCUCUUUGCUAAAGAAAUGAGUCAAAGUUAAAAAGAUGUUUGGUGUCUAGUACUAUGUCUGUGACCCUAUAUGUCCUGUUGAUGAAGUUAGGUGCUGUUCUGAGCAUUAUUUGUGGCUAUAGAGUGGCGUUUUGGUUGAG
rnacentral:lncRNA from 1 species